rnacentral:rRNA from 1 species
AACACUUUUGCGGAUUUCUUCGGAUUGAAGCAACUGUGACUGAGCGGCGGACGGGUGAGUAACGCGUGGGUAACCUGCCUCAUACAGGGGGAUAACAGUUGGAAACGGCUGCUAAUACCGCAUAAGCGCACAGUACCGCAUGGUACGGUGUGAAAAACUCCGGUGGUAUGAGAUGGACCCGCGUCUGAUUAGGUAGUUGGUGGGGUAACGGCCUACCAAGCCGACGAUCAGUAGCCGACCUGAGAGGGUGACCGGCCACAUUGGGACUGAGACACGGCCCAAACUCCUACGGGAGGCAGCAGUGGGGAAUAUUGCACAAUGGGGGAAACCCUGAUGCAGCGACGCCGCGUGAGCGAUGAAGUAUUUCGGUAUGUAAAGCUCUAUCAGCAGGGAAGAAAAUGACGGUACCUGACUAAGAAGCCCCGGCUAACUACGUGCCAGCAGCCGCGGUAAUACGUAGGGGGCAAGCGUUAUCCGGAUUUACUGGGUGUAAAGGGAGCGUAGACGGCAUGGCAAGCCAGAUGUGAAAGCCCGGGGCUCAACCCCGGGACUGCAUUUGGAACUGUCAGGCUAGAGUGUCGGAGAGGAAAGCGGAAUUCCUAGUGUAGCGGUGAAAUGCGUAGAUAUUAGGAGGAGCACCAGUGGCGAAGGCGGCUUUCUGGACGAUGACUGACGUUGAGGCUCGAAAGCGUGGGGAGCA